GAUGAACGCUGGCGGCGUGCUCAACACAUGCCAGUCGAACGAAGCACUUUAUUUGAUUUCCUUCGGGACUGAUUAUUUUGUGACUGAGUGGCGGACGGGUGAGUAACGCGUGGGUAACCUGCCUUGUACAGGGGGAUAACAGUUGGAAACGGCUGCUAAUACCGCAUAAGCGCACAGCAUCGCAUGAUGCAGUGUGAAAAACUCCGGUGGUAUAAGAUGGACCCGCGUUGGAUUAGCUAGUUGGUGAGGUAACGGCCCACCAAGGCGACGAUCCAUAGCCGACCUGAGAGGGUGACCGGCCACAUUGGGACUGAGACACGGCCCAAACUCCUACGGGAGGCAGCAGUGGGGAAUAUUGCACAAUGGGCGAAAGCCUGAUGCAGCGACGCCGCGUGAGCGAAGAAGUAUUUCGGUAUGUAAAGCUCUAUCAGCAGGGAAGAUAAUGACGGUACCUGACUAAGAAGCACCGGCUAAAUACGUG
rnacentral:rRNA from 1 species